rnacentral:rRNA from 1 species
CCUACGGGAGGCUGCAGUGGGGAAUAUUGGACAAUGGGGGGAACCCUGAUCCAGCCAUGCCGCGUGUGUGAAGAAGGCCCGCGGGUUGUAAAGCACUUUCAGUGAGGAAGAACGCCUGGUGGUUAAUACCCAUCAGGAAAGACAUCACUCACAGAAGAAGCACCGGCUAACUCCGUGCCAGCAGCCGCGGUAAUACGGAGGGUGCGAGCGUUAAUCGGAAUUACUGGGCGUAAAGCGCGCGUAGGUGGCUUGAUAAGCCGGUUGUGAAAGCCCCGGGCUCAACCUGGGAACGGCAUCCGGAACUGUCAAGCUAGAGUGCAGGAGAGGAAGGUAGAAUUCCCGGUGUAGCGGUGAAAUGCGUAGAGAUCGGGCGGAAUACCAGUGGCGAAGGCGGCCUUCUGGACUGACACUGACACUGAGGUGCGAAAGCGUGGGUAGCAAACAGGAUUAGAUACCCUUGUAGUC